rnacentral:rRNA from 1 species
GACGAACGCUGGCGGCGUGCCUAACACAUGCAAGUCGAGCGGAGACGAUAGCAAUAUUGUCUUAGCGGCGGACGGGUGAGUAACACGUGGGCAACCUGCCUUUUUCCGGGGGAUAACAUUGGGAAACCGGUGCUAAUACCGCAUGAUAUCGCGAUGCCGCAUGGCGAUGCGAUCAAAGGAGCAAUCCGGAGGAAGAGGGGCCCGCGUCCGAUUAGAUCGUUGGUGGGGUAACGGCCUACCAAGUCUGCGAUCGGUAGCCGGACUGAGAGGUCGAACGGCCACAUUGGGACUGAGGUACGGCCCAGACUCCUACGGGGGGCAGCAGUGGGGAAUAUUGCACAAUGGGGGAAACCCUGAUGCAGCAACGCCGCGUGAAGGAUGAAGGUUUUCGGAUUGUAAACUUCUUUGACCGGGGACAAAACGAAUGACGGUACCCGGAAAACAAGCCACGGCUAACUUCGUGCCAGCAGCCGCGGUAACAC